GUGAUGCGCUGGAACAUCCCAGGCUAUCUGAUCUCAUAUCCACGUUUUAAUCUUUCUCUCCUUUCCCGAUUACCACACGUGUACACGCGUUGACUGCAGAACAUGAUGGAAGCGUGAGCUUGGCAAUCAGAUCUGCCACCUCAAUUAAUGAGGGAGAUAUGAUGGACCUUGUUUUUUUGAAUUUUAUUUUAAUUUCUGAAUUUCCA
rnacentral:lncRNA from 1 species